rnacentral:lncRNA from 1 species
UACCCAUCACUUGAUUGUAUCACUGUCCCAUUUCUUCAUUUGAUCACAUCAUAUAUCCUUCUAAAUCAUCUCCUCUAGGUUUUUUCAUCAUCUUAUAUUUUCUUUCAAAUGAAUGUAAGAUUUUUUUAAGCACAUAUUCAUUCAUUCAUUAUCAUUUCAAUUCUUGACAAAUAUAAUGCAAUCAAGCAUUUUCUCAAUUCAUUCUAGGGGUGAAACAAUAAGAGAAUGCAAGGUGAAUUAUGGUAAAGAUAAUCAAUGAAGAU